rnacentral:lncRNA from 1 species
CGCAGUCAGAAAAGUAGAGGACCGGCCAAUACCGACAGAUUCUGUCCGGUAUUGAGCCGGGGCUUGAUGGAGCCCAGGAGACCUCUGGGAGUGUUAAACCAGCCAAGGAGUGCGCAGGCGCAGACUUUCUGGCUCGCCAUGGUCGUCUUUGUCUGCCGGUGAGUUUGGUUUCGGCUUCGCAAAGCGCAGAUCUGGGCGUGGGACCUGGGUUUCUGGGCUCAGAAUCUGGUCAGGGAGGCUGUAGGGGAGGAUUCUUGGAGAUUGCGACGUGGCUGGAGAGGCUAAAGGGGAGGAAUCGCCUUCUAUGACGUGCAUUGUUCAAAGCCUAUGUGGAUGGGGGCAGGGGUACUGGGGGAAACUGGGGCGGGACCGCGGCGGGGUGGGGGUGGGGGUAUGACGGAAUGUAUGAGAUUGUUGUAGAGGUACCACUUGUGUGAGAACUCUGUGGUUCCAAGUGUGUGAGAAUGGAUGGCAUUGUGAGCUUUAUGGGGUAGUAACCUCAACCUCACUUUUCUCGUUUCUAAAAUAACUAAUAAAGAUGCAUCUUUCUGGAGCAUCCGUUUUUCUGAAAGAAAGGAAAAUGGCUAAGAUAUAGAGAUAAGUAAUUUUUAAAGCGAUUUUUAUAUAAAAGCAGACUCAUUGUGCAGUAGAAAACAAAAUUAGUAUUAACAAUUUUUUAAAGUAAACAUUUCCGGAAAACUUGUUUCUAGAUGUCUAGACUCCCCCUAUGUAUUGACUCAGUUCUUUGGAGGAACUUUGGUGAGGCCAAUUUGAAAAGCCCUGGACUAAGGAAGAGCUUUAAGAGCUAGUUUCCACUAGCGUAGACAGCACAGAAUUGGGAAGGAUGAUGUCCUGUCUUUGGUUCAGAGAUGUCAGGUAACAGAUUUAAGAUUCUCUUGUUUCUCAGUGACAUGGCAGUGACUCGUAAUUUGACCAGGUUUUCCCUAGACCAAAGGUUGGCCUUUGUAAAUGUAGCGAAACAAAUUUUCUUCUAAAAUGACACUUCCUUCUAGUAUUGUAUCGCGCUUAACAUAUUUUUCAGUAAAAUGAAAAAGAACCAUGGUACAAAAAUGCAUAUACACAAAUAAUAGCUUUGGUACAUACAAAAAUGUAAUCAGUAAUAGUUAUGAAGACAGUAAUUACAAUAGUGACAAAUCAGAUAAAACACCUAAGGAAUAAAUAAGAAAUGUAUAAAAAUCUAUAUGAAGAUUAUUCUUUAGUGUUAAUGAAAGACCCAAAAUAAGACUUGACCAAAUGGAAAUACAUAUGUUACAUUUUAAAAAUCUUCAAGGGGCGCCUGGGUGGCGCAGUCGGUUAAGCGUCCGACUUUGGCCAGGUCACGAUCUCGCGGUCCGUGGGUUCGAGCCCCGCGUCGGGCUCUGGGCUGAUGGCUCAGAGCCUGGAGCCUGUUUCCGAUUCUGUGUCUCCCUCUCUCUCUGCCCCUCCCCCGUUCAUGCUCUGUCUCUCUCUCUCUCCCAAAAAUAAAUAAAAAAACGUUGAAAAAAAUUAAAAAUAAAAAUAAAAAUCUUCAAGCUAUUUUGUGAAGAAAGUGUGCCUGUUUGGUGCAAUAUACUACUUUUUUAGUGGGUGGGAAAAAGAAUGUGUAUUCAUAGGUGCAUGAAGAAACUUUUAUCUAUAUGAAGAUUAUUCUUUAGUGUUAAUGAAAGCCCUUUUGAAAUUUACACAAAAAAAUAACGGUUGUCAGAGGAGGGAGAUGCAAUAGUUAGGGCAGGGGUAAGAAUCACAGUUUUGCUUGCCUGUGUUGUAUAUUUCCAUUUUUAACGGAUGGAGGGAUUCAAUUUCUGUGUUCAGUCCAUUACUUUCCAGAUGUUUAUCACUGCCUCAUUCUUGAAUGUUUCCUUGACUUCCAUUACACUACUCUCAUUUGUAUAAUUCCAGUCAAAACCAAGGAAUAACCUCCCCCUCAAAAAAAAAGCUCCAUUAGUGACUUAAUGUUUCUGUUUGUCCCUUAGCUAUUAGUGUUCCUAAGUUUCUGAAUUAUCUUUUUUUUCUUUUCCCCCUCUAAGAACAAAAUUCCACUGCUGUGGCUUCACUUGACAGGUGACUAACAAAUGUCCAUUCAUAGUUGAGCUCUGUCCAAUUUGCUAAUGGACAGCUCCACCUUGAGGCUACACCGGAACUUCACGCUCUUUGUGUCCAAAAUGUUAAUUCUGGUAUCUCCGCCUCCUAUGGUUUGCCUCCAUCCAUUCCCCUUUGCAUUACCUGUUUCAUCAAUUAGUAACACUGUGCAGCCAGAUUUUAAGCCUCUUAUAUCUGAGUCAGGGAAGAGCUGAGUAAUUUUGACUUUUGUCAUUCAUUCUCCAUUACAUAUUGGAGGCCUAGAUUUCUUUUUUUUUUCCCCCUUAAUGUUUAUUUAUUUUGAGGGGGGUAAGUAGAGAGGCAGAGGGAGAGGGAGAGAGAAUCCCAAGCAGGCUCCAUGCUGUCAGCACAGAGCCCAAUGUGGGGCUCCAUCUCACAAACCAUGAGAUUAUGACCCGAGGUGAGAUCAAGAGUCUAACACUUAACUGACUUAGCCACCCAGGCACCCUGACAAAAAUGUUUUUAUUGGGGAAAAUGAUAUUCAAAACUGUGACUCUUUAAUCAGGAGCAAGGCCACAAGUGACACUUGCACAGGUUGUGAUUCUGUAGAACUUUAACAACUCAGUCUUGUAAUUUCUCUGUAUAACCUAAAUUCUGAAAAAUAAAUAACCUAAAUUCUGUUUCCCAUUCCUGAAAUGUGUGGAGGCUUUAAAUGGCAUAAUGGGUUUGGCUGAGGAUGCAAAGUGUAAAUGCUCUUUUUCAAUGUGCUUAUGUGUAUGUGUGUGCUCCAGCUUCUAAGCCAAAAGGUCAUCAUUACUUUGCUCUUUUUCAUAGACCAGUUUCCUUGUGCAUCCCCAGGAACUGCACUUCCUUUACCCAUCAAAUCCUUUAAGGAUCCUUUGGUCUCAGCCUGAAUUAUGGGAUUCUGCUUUGACCCUCAAGAGUAAUGUCCAAGUCCUGUGUCACUGUUUAGAAGUUUAAAGACACCAGUUUAAACAAGAAGAGCAAUGAAUAACUGAGGAAGAAAUGUAAAGGAGGUGCUUUCCAGGUGAGUAAGAAGGAACCCAGAAGGAUGAAUGGGAUAAAGGUUCAUUAAGUUAUUUUUUUAUGAUGUAUCUUUUUUUUUUAAAUGUUUAUUUGUUUUUGAAAGAGAGAGUGUGCACAUGGGGAGGGCAGAGAGAGGGAGACAGAGGAUCCAAAGCAGUUCCACACGGACAGCAGAGAGCCUGAUGUGAGGCUUGAACUCAAACCAGAGAUCAUGACCUAAGCCAAGGUCAGAUGCUUAACCACCCAGGCACCCCUCUUAUAGUUACUCAAACUGCGACCUCUGAAAAAAUUUUUGAGGCAAGUUUUUUUAUAAGCCCAUUGGAGUAACAGUUGCUGGGAAUUCUUUAGAUACCUAAAUAACAUUUCCAGAUUCUCUUGCUUGAUCAUGCUCUUUUUUUUUCUCAGAUUCUGGGGGACUGCUUGCCCCUGUAACCUCUAUUCUGGAUGCUAGCCUCUUUACUUCAUUUGCAGUCUCAAUUUUAUAAAUUGUCUAGCCUAAAUAUUGUGUUUUCCCUUUCACUAACAUUUUAUUUCUCCCCACUUCCAUCUUAGAGUUGAAUAUUACCCCUUAUCAUUAUUUCUUAUUCCCUUCCUACCUACUAUCAUAGCACAUUUCUCACUCUCUUGCUUUUUAACAAUAUAGCAGGCUAGGAAAUUAGUGCUGACUUCCUACUAGUUCACAUCUCUGUUACUCUUUAAAAAUAAUACUAUCAUCUUUAAAAUCCAAUACAUAUACUUAAUAGAAAAUUAAGGGGCGCCAGGGUGGCUCAUUCGGUUAAGCAUCCGACUCUUGGUUUCAGCUCAGGUCAUGAUCUCGCAGUUUGUGAGUUCGAGCCCUACAUCAGGCUCUGCACUGACAGCUUGACGCCUGCUUAGGAUUCUUUCUCUCUCUCUCUCUCUGUCUGCCCCUCCCCCACUUGCUCAAUCAGUCUCUCUCAAAAAUAAACAACAACAAAAAAGUUUUUUAAGAAAAUUAAAGAAUGGUUCCUCAAUCCUGGCCCUCGGUUCUCCAUUUCUGUUCCCCAGAAGCAGCCACUAUUAAAUGUGCUUUCUUCUAAAUGUUUUUAUGAGUAUACAAGGAGGCUUUAACAAUGACAUGAUUUGACUAUGACAAGAAUACUGUUGUUGCUGUGUUGAGAGAAGUUAUAUAAAGAGGCAAAGGCAAAAGUAGGAAGAAUAGUGAGGAGUCUAUUAAAUAAUACAGGGAAGACAUAAUGUGGCUUAGACUUUGGUGGUCCUAGUGAGAAUUAUGAGAAAUGGCCAGAUGCUGACUGUAUUUUGAAGAUAAAGCCAAGAGGAUGUGGAAACAUAAUGGGUGUGUUACCUAGGAGAGAGUUGUUCAAGGCUUGAGCUCAAGCCUUGAACAACUGAGAAAAUAAGGUUGUUAUUUAACGAGAUGAGAAGAAUUUGGGUGUUGGUUUGGGAGAACAAGGGUUUGAUUUGGGGCAGGGUAAAUUAGAUCCGUAUUAGACAUCUAAGUGCAGAUUUUGAGUAGCAAGUGGUUAUGUGAAUCAGUUGAGGAAAGAGGUCCAGUCUAGUGAUUAAAUAUUUUCAAAAUAUAUAUCAGAAUGCUCAAAUGUCAACCAAACUCUUAAAUGUAUUCUGUGAAAAUGGUGACCUGUUAGAGCAGGAGUUGGCAAACUACAUCCUACUAUGUAUUUUUGUAAGGAGUUUUACUGAAACAUGGCCAUGUUCAGUGCAUCUCGUCCAUUCAUUUUCUUAUGGUCUGUUACUACUUUCAUGCUACGGUGUCCAAGUUGAGUAGGUAUCUACAGAUACAUGAUAUUGUAAAGCAUUAGACAGGACUAAAAAGUAUAUCAAUCAUGGUAAAGCUAAGUGACUAUAAUAAACCCCAAAAUGUACUGGUUUAAGGAAUAUAAGAAUUGAUUUCCUGGUCACAUAACAGUUAUGUGGUGAGUAAUGAAGAUUUGCAUGGUAGCUUUGGUCUUUGUGAUCCUUUAAAUGAUCCAGAUUUCCUCCAGGUUCUGUUGAUCAUUAGUUGUGGUUGAAACGGGUCAACAGUGCAUCCUAGUUCCACCCAAGUAGAGAAGGGAGAAAUGACCACUGUAGGGCAAGAGGCCAGUAAACUUUCUGUAAAUGUCCAGGUAGCAAAUACUUCAGGUUUUGUAGGUCCUAGGAUCUCUGCUGCAGCUACUCAAGUCGGGCAUUAUAGCACAAAAAUAGUUUCCUUAGGAUUAGAGUAUUUUGACUUCUAUUUUGAAAAUAUUUGGGGGGGGGGCACCUGGGUGGCUGAGUCUGUUAAGCAAGCAGCUGACUCUUAGUUUCGAGUCAGGUCUUGAUCUCACAGUUUGUGAGUUUGAACCCUGCAUCAGGCUCUGUGCUGACUGUGCAGAACCUGCUUGGGAUUCUCUCUCUCUACUGUCUCUCUGACCCUCCCCCACUUGCGCUAUCUCUGUCUCCCUCAAAAUAAAUAAAUAAACUUUAAAAAAAUAUAUAAGAUGUGUUAAUUACCAAGAUGUCAUUUCUGUGUUUUCUUUAGUUAGGAAUAUAGUGGGCUAAGUCCUAAUCUGUUCUACAUCGUACUUUUGCAAAUAUAAUGAAUUUAAGAAUUGGAAAAUUUUAAAUAAAUGUUAUUACUGUUCAUUUGUAAAAGUUUAGUAAAUUCCACAUCUUGAACCAUCUAUUGGGGUGAUAAAAUAACAAUGGUCUCUUUUUUUCUAUAUCUACUUUACUGUUUAGGUUUCUUGUCUUUUCUGGUCUCAGUUUUCAUAGGUAAUAUUUGGUUUUCAAAUUUGUUUGUAUGGAGGUGAGCAAAUAAUCUCUACAGUCCUUUUCUGUCUAUGGUUAUUUCCAAGUAAUCAUUUUUUUAUUUUUAUAAUUUUGCUGUUAUUCCUCUUUAGUUUUUCCCUAAGAAUCAACUUGUGGAUUUAUUAUUUCUAAUUUUGUUUGUAAUAAUUAAUUUUUCUUAUCUGUACUUUUUUUUCUUACAUUUACUUUUCCUUAUUGUAAUUCCUUGGUUUGAAUGCUUAUUUUAUUAUGUUAUUUCUUUUUAUUUUUUUUAAAGCUUAUUUAUUUAUUUUGAGAGAGCGAGCUCACGCACACAAGCAGGGGAGAAGCAGAGAGAGAGAGGGAGAGAGAGAAUCCCAAGCAGGCUCUGUGCUGUCACUGCAGAGCCUGAUGCAGGGCUAGAUCUCACAAACCAUGGGAUCAUGACCUGAGUUGAAAUCACCCAGGUGCCCUAUGUUAUUUCUUUUUAGAAUAAUGUAAACAUAUAUGUUAAAACUUAUCCAAGCAUUUUUUUCAAAUGUGUUCUAUAGGCUCUGAUAUACAUUGUUUUUGAAUUUUUCUGAAUAUUUCUGAAUGCUUUGCAAUUUAUUUUAAUUUUAUCUUUGACCAAAGUGUUUGUUCAAGCCAGUAUAUUUUGAAAUUUACAAGUGAGGGGUGCUUGGGUGGCUCAGUCAGUUAAGCAUCCAAUUUCAGCUCAGGUCAUGAUCUCACGGUUCGUGGGUUUGAGCCCAGCAUCAGGCUCUAUGCUGACAGCUUGGAACCUGGAGCCUGCUUUGGAUUCUGUCUCUCUCUCUCUCUGCCCCUGCCCUGCUUGUGCUCUCUUUCUCAAAAAUAAACAUUAGGGGCGCCUGGGUGGCGCAGUCGGUUAAGCGUCCGACUUCAGCCAGGUCACGAUCUCACGGUCCGUGAGUUCGAGCCCUGUGUCGGGCUCUGGGCUGAUGGCUCAGAGCCUGGAGCCUGUUUCCGAUUCUGUGUCUCCCUCUCUCUCUGCCCCUCCCCCGUUCAUGCUCUGUCUCUCUCUGUCCCAAAAAUAAAUAAAACGUUUAAAAAAAAAAUAAAUAAAUAAACAUUAAAUUUUUUUUUUAAUUUGAAAUUUACAAGUGAAAAUUUCCUUUUUUCUAAUGUAUUUUUUUAAUGUUUAUUUAUUUUGAGAGACAGAAGUGAGAGAGAGUGCACGUGCACAUGCACACAAGCAGGGAAGGGGCAGAGAGAGAGGGCUGAGAGAGAAUCCCUAGCAGGCUCUGUGCUGUCAGUGCCAGAGCUUGAUGUAGGGCUCAGUCUCAUGAACCAGUGAGAUCAUGACCUGAACUGAAAUCAAGAGUCAGUCACUUAACCAACUGAGCUACCCAGGCACCCUGUUUUAGAUGUGUACCUUACAGAGAGUUUAGGUAGGUUUUAUUAUGUCAUUUGUUAAACCUUCGCGUGUGUCAAAAUCAUCUAGAGGGCUUGUUAAAUACAGAUUGCUGGGCCUUACCUGCAGGUUUUCUUGAUUCAGGAGGUAUGUGUUGGAGCCUGAGAAUUAUCUGUAUGAGCCUGUCAUAGUCUUUUUCUUUUAAUAGUUCUUUUUUUCCUAGUUGUAUUUAUUGACAGGAACAGAAUGGUUAGUAUUGGUUCUUUUAUUUAAUAUUAUGUAUUCUGUUUUAAAUUUGACCUCAUCUUUUUUAUCCUUUACUAUAGGAUCUUUGAUUUCCUUGAGUACAUAUGCCUUUCCUUCUGAAAAUAAUGGAAAGUUUGUUAUAUUUUAUUAUAAUAAUUAUUUUGUUAUAUUCUCUUGGUUGCCUUUAUAUUCAUAACUUUCUUAGUCUUUGUCUUCCAUUUCUUCAGGUACUAUACUCCUCACUAAGGAAUGACGUAUAUUUUAUACUUUAGUGUAUUUUUAGUCUCCCUCCUCUCUUUCCCACACUGUUGGUAAUUGUGAUUAUUAUUUCAGUUUUAAAUAGUAUCAGUUGUACCCUUCUUCCCUCCCCAUUCAUAUAUAUGAAAUUAUUUGCAUCUUCGCCUUUGAUUGUGCAGUGAGCCAUCUAUCAAAGUCCUAUCCAUCAUUUACCCUUGGGUUUCAUUUUUAUUAAAAUGUCCCUUCAUUAUCACUUUUAGCCCAGUAUCUCUAAUCUUCUAUUCCCAUAGCAUAUUAUAGUUUCCAGAGCAACUUGAAUUCUAAGUAUAUGCUCUCUUACAUUUGUAUUUUUCCCUUUCAUGUUUAAGACCUACAUUGAAGCUCAUUGAGACAAAAGCUGGUAUUUUACCCUUGUUAUCUGCAGUCUUAAGCACAAAGAAGAUGAUUAAUAAAUAACUGGUGAUUGUUGUAGAGCUUCAGGUGUGGAAAGAUUUACUUUUUCAGCUUUAUUGAGGUAUAAUUUCCAUAAAAGUCAACCCCUUUAGUAUAUUAUUUGAUAAAUUUGGUAAUUGUAUACAGUCAUAAAACCAACACCAAAACCAACAUAUAGAACAGAUCCAUCAACAGUUCUUUGUGCCCUUUUGCUAUAGAGCCAUACCCCUCCCCCAUCCCUGGUGAUCACUAAUUGGCUUUAUGUUACUAGGACUUGCCAUUUCUAGAAUUCAUAUAAAUGUAGUCAUUCACUGCAUAAUCUUUAGCAUUUAAUUUCUUUGAUUUAGUUUUACAUUUUUGAGAUUAAUUCAUGUUAUGUAUAUGAAUUUUCAUUUUUUAUUGCUGAUUAUUAUUAUAAGUAUGGACAUAAUUUGUCAUUGAUAGACAUUUAGAUUACUUCCAUUUUUGACUAUUAUGAACAUUCAUAUACUAGGUCUUUGUGUCAACAUAUAUGUUCAUUUUUCUUGAAUAAAUGCCUAGAAAUGGGAUUGCUGCACAGAAUAAGUAUAUAUUGAACUUUAUAAAAUACUCAGAUUAUGUUCCAAAGUAGCUGUAUCAUUUUUCACUCCCACCUACAGUUUUUUGAGAGAUAGUUGCUUCGCAUUCUUACACUUGGAAUGGCAGUUUUUUAAAUUUUAGCCAUUUUAAUGGGUGUGUAAUGUAUCUCACUGGGAUUUUAAUAUGCAUUUCUGAUCACUAGUUUGGAUGAACGUCUAAUGUACUUAUUGGCCAUUCAUAUAUCUGAUUUUGUGAAUAUCUUUUCUAGUCUCUUACCCAUUUUAUAAAUUAGAUUACCUUUUUUUUACUGAGAUUUAGGAGUUCUAUAUAUUUUGGAUAUGAGCCCUUCAUCAGUUUCUACCAGUCUGGCUUUUCUUUUUUUUAACUGUGUUUUUGAAGGGCAUUAGUUUUUUAUUUUGAUUAAGUCUACCAUUUUUUCUUUAUAAAAGAAAUAGUUUUAACACUUAUGUUGAGGUCUUUAAUUCAUUUUGAGUAAAUUUUUGCCUAUGGCAUGCAGUAAAGGUUGAGGGUUUUUGUUUUCUGAUUUUAGAAAUUAUAGCAUUGAUGUGAGUGACAGUAUAUUACUAGAGUCAGCUCUUGCAGUGAUUUAUAAGAAAAUGAGGAGGCAUGCCUGGCUGGCUCAGUUGGUACAGCAUACAAGUCUUGAUCUCAGGUUUGUAAGUUUGAGCCCCAUGCUGGUUGUAGAGAUUACUUAAAAGUAAAAUCUUAAAAAAAAAAAAAAGAAAAAGAAAAUGAGGAUAAAAGUUUGAGAGGGACAGGACAGAUCAGGAUAACAUUGAAGAUUUGCAGCCAGUAGAAAACAUUUAUAAAAGAAAGGAUUGAGAGUGAGGACAAGACAAGAGCUCUUCACAAAAGAAGAGCUUUGGUGCCAGUCAUUUCAGGCACAAUGAUAGAAAGAAAACAAAUGAAAACUGAAAUUGAGGGCAACGACAGUUUCUGUAUCUAGAAAUGAUAGUAUCAAUAAUCAAAACACUGCAGUAAAUCAGAUUUCAAGGCAAAAAUGGCUGUUUUCUGGCCUAUUUUACUUUUUUUCAUUAAUAUGUACUUUGCUGUUUAGCCAUGUGAAACUUAACUGCAACUAGAUAAAAAGAGUACUAUCUAUAGUUACUAUACGAUUAUAGAUCAGUUCAGGUUAAAAGGCUCAAGUCUUCAAGGACAUCUCUGCAGGUAUAACAUGUAGGGGCUUUUAAAAAUGAAAUAGGAUUAUAGUUAUGCUUGCACCAUCCUUCGUCACCCACAGUUCCUCCUCCACAUAGGCAACCACUUUCAACUCAAUAAACUGGUGUUUAUUCUCACAUUUUAUGCAUCUAUUUUACCUACUUUUGAUUUAACCAUUUUACAAUAUUAUCAGCUUGGGGAUGCCUGGCUGGCUUAGUUGGUAGAGCACGCGACUCUUGAUCUCGGGUUUGUAAGUUCAAGCCCCACUCUGGGUGUAGAGAUUACUUAAAAAUAAAAUCUUUUGGGGUGCCUGGGUGGUUCAGUCAAUUGUGGGUCCGACUUCGGCUCAGGUCAUGAUCUCCUGGUUCAUGGGUUUGAGCCCUGCAUCAGGCUCUGUGCUGAUAGCUCAGAGCCUGGAGCCUGCUUUGGAUUCUGUGUCUCCCUCUCUCUCUGCCCCUCCCCUGCUUGUGCUUUCUCUCUCUCUCAAAAAUAAAUAAACAUUAAACUACAUUUUUGUUCUUUUUUAAUUUCUUUUUUUUUUUUUUAACAUUUAUUCAUUUUUUGAGAGACAGAGAGAGACAGAGCAUGUGUGGGGAAGGGGCAGAGAGAGAGAGAAACACGGACUCCAAAGCAAGCUCCAGGCUCUGAACUGAUAGCACAGAGCCCAAUGUGGGGCUUGAACCCAUGGACCGUGAGAUCAUGACCUGAGCCAAAGUUGGACCCGCAACCAACUGAGCCACCCAGGUGCCCCUAAACUACAUUUAAAAAAAUAAAAAUAAAAUCUUUUGAAAAUAAAAUCUUUUAUACAUACAGAAUUUUAUAUAUUAUAUGUAUAUAAAUAUAUAUAUGAUCAACUUGUUAACAUGAAAGAUGGAAUUUAGAAAUUUUCCUGUAUUAAUUUUUCUUCAUAUUUUCUCUGGAACUCCUUUAGGAGAUCUUGAACCUCUUAGACGCCUCCACUAACCCGCUAAUUUUCUAAUCAUUAUUUCUUUCUCCCUUCCUUCUUUCCAUUCUUCCUUUUUUUUUUUUUUUUAAAUUAUUCUGGGAGAUUUCCUGGAAUUUUUUCCCCUAAGCUGUUGAAUUUUUUAGUUCAACAUAUUUCUUAUUUGCAAAAGCACUUCUUUAUAGAACUCUGUUGAUAGGGGUGCCUGGGUGGCUUAGUUGGUUAAGCAUCCGACUUCAGCUCAGAUCAUGAUCUCUCAGUCCAUGAGUUUGAGCCCCAUGUCGGGCUCUGUGCUGGCAACUCAGAGCCUGGAGCCUGCUUCAGAUGCUGUGUUUCCCUCUCUCUGCACUCCCCCGUUCACACUCUGUCUCUCUUGCUCUCAAAAAUAAACAUGAAAAAAAAAUUAAAAAAAGAAAAAGAACUCUUGAUAUUUCUGUGUUUUCAGUGCUUCUGUGAUACUAAUUACAGUAUUGUUUAUGUGUGUGUUUCUUUUGUUCCUUUCCUUGUUUUUUCCUAUUUGUUUUGAUCUAGCUUUCACAUUAGGGCUUUCAUCAUUUUUUUUGUGAUCUUUAGCUCUAUGUUAAAAUUUAACAUUGAGGUACCAGAAACACUAUUGUAAUCUUUGUGCAUGGUUGGGGCUUGUAAAAUGGUGGGCUUCACUAUGCAGCAUUUAGUCAGAUAUCUAGAUGAUUCUUUUUUUUUAAAUCUUUUUUUUUUUUUUUUCAACGUUUAUUAUUUUUGGGACAGAGAGAGACAGAGCAUGAACGGGGGAGGGGCAGAGAGAGAGGGAGACACAGAAUCGGAAACAGGCUCCAGGCUCUGAGCCAUCAGCCCAGAGCCUGGCGCGGGGCUCGAACUCACGGACCGCGAGAUCGUGACCUGGCUGAAGUCGGACGCUUAACCGACUGCGCCACCCAGGCGCCCCUAGAUGAUUCUUUUAAAUGACUCCAAAUGUGAAUAUCUGUAAGUGUUUUCAUGACCUUUUCAUUUUUUUCAGUAAAGAACCCUCCCUGGGUGCCUGGGCGGCUCAGUUGGUUGAGUGUGUGAUUUGAUUUCAGCUCAGAUCAUGAACUCAUGGUUUGUGAGUUUGAGCCCCGCAUGCGGCUCCGUGCUGUCCAUGUGGAGCCUGCUUGGGAUUCUGUCUCUGCCCCUUGUGUGCCCUCUUUCUCCCUCUCUCUCAGAAUAAACAAAAAUAAGGAAGGAAGGAAGGAAGGAAGGAAGGAGGGAGGGAGGGAGGGAGGGAAGGAAGGAGGGAAGGAAGGAGGGAGGGAGGGAAGGAAGGAAGGAAGGAAGGAAGGAAGGAAGGGAAGAGGGAAGGAAGGAGGGAAGGGAGAGAGGGAAAAAGGAAGNNNNNNNNNNNNNNNNNNNNNNNNNNNNNNNNNNNNNNNNNNNNNNNNNNNNNNNNNNNNNNNNNNNNNNNNNNNNNNNNNNNNNNNNNNNNNNNNNNNNNNNNNNNNNNNNNNNNNNNNNNNNNNNNNNNNNNNNNNNNNNNNNNNNNNNNNNNNNNNNNNNNNNNNNNNNNNNNNNNNNNNNNNNNNNNNNNAGAAUAAAAAAAAAGAAGGAAGGAAGGAAGGAAGGAAGGAAGGAAGGAAGGAAAAAGAAACCAACCCAUCUAUUGUUUGACACCACCAACCACCAGCAUUUCUAAAGAGCAGCAGUAGAAAGGGGUUGGAACCCUAUUCUACAUAGGAAUUUUUACUCCCUCUUUUCAGUAUCUACUUUGCCUAUCAUCACUAAGUUUGGAGGCUCCUGGUUAUACUUUGGAUAAUAAAUUCCUAUGUCCUUCCAGUUAGGAGAAUUAGGUACAUAAGCUGCUGCUUUUAUAAUCAUUGUAUAAGUUCCACCUUCUACUCUUACCCAGUCACUCCAGUUAUAGAGCCUUUGUGUUGACAGCUGUAUCACAAAUUACCUUGCUUCUAGGUAGCAUCCUCUUUUGCUGGCUUUUUAUUUAAGCCACUUGAUUCUGCUGUUAAUUUAUAGUUCUUUAUUUGCUUUCCUUUCAAAAUUUCCUAAAUCUUUUCAUCCACCGGUGUCUUCUCAACCUCUGCAGUGUUUAUGAGUAUAUUCCCUUCAUCCUCGUACUAUCAUUUGAAUGGAGUUUCAGGAAGAUACAGAAUAAAUAUCUUAUUUAACCGUAUGUCCUCUUUAAUAAUUCUAUUUAUUUUAUUUUUUAUCCUUUCAUCUUAGGCUCUCCCAAUCUUAUGUGUUUGUUUUUUCAUCCUGUUUGUUACCUGUUCUUUAUAUUUUAUUUUACUGAUUUAUAAAAUGCAAAAGUUACAUUUAAAAACAAUUUGAGCAGGGUGCCUGAGUGGCUCAGUUGGUUAAGCCUCCCAACUCUCGACUUCGGCUCAUGUCAUGUUCUCACAGUUCAUGGGUUCGAGCCCCACGUUGGGCUCUGUGCUGAUGGUGCAGAGCCUGCUUGGGAUCCUCUCUCUUUCCCUCUCUCUCUGUCCUUCCCCGGCUCGUGUGCACACUCCCCCUCUCUCUUUCUCAAAAUAAAUAAACUUAAAAAAAUAAUAAAAAUAAAAACAGUUUAAACUACAUGCUCCUGUGAAUGUUAUUUGUAUUUAAGCUUUCUUUUUACUGUGGGACUAGGUUUGAAAUAAAGAGUCUAUUUUACAAUACCACAUUUAAAAAUUUUUGUUAAAAAUACUGGAAAAAAUCACAAGUGUUAGUGUUGAUGAUGAUGAUAGCCACUUUAUUGGAUAUUUACUACAUGCUAGGCACUAAAUAUUUUACAGUUAUUAGCUCUUUUCAAUGAUGAUUUUGUUUUUAUUCCCUUUUAGAAAAGGUCUGGGAAAUUUAUAAAUAGAUGAAGAUUCAUCAUGGAAGACAUGAGAGUUAAGUCUCAUCUUUCUCCAUGAAAAUAUAGUUUAGAAAAAACUCAGAAAACCUGGGCAUAACAGAAAAGUAUUUCCUUUGAGGACAGAUGUUGAUUCUUUACAACUACAUCUCUGUGUAUGAGACUCAGUUUAAG